AUGCAAGUCGAACGGCAGCGCGAGGAGCUUGCUCCUUGGCGGCGAGUGGCGGACGGGUGAGUAACGCGUAGGAAACUACCUAGUAGUGGGGGAUAACUCGGGGAAACUCGGGCUAAUACCGCAUACGCUCUACGGAGGAAAGCAGGGGAUCUUCGGACCUUGCGCUAUUAGAUGUGCCUGCGUCGGAUUAGCUUGUUGGUGGGGUAAAGGCCUACCAAGGCGAUGAUCCGUANCUGGUCUGAGGGGAUGACCAGCCACACUGGGACUGAGACACGGCCCAGACUCCUACGGGAGGCAGCAGUGGGGAAUAUUGGACAAUGGGGGGAACCCUGAUCCAGCAACGCCGCGUGUGUGAAGAAGGUCUUCGGAUUGUAAAGCACUUUCAGCGGGGAGGAAAAAACAGUCCUUAAUACGGGCUAUCUUAACAUUACCCGCAAAAGAAGCACUGGCUAACUCUGUGCCAGCAGCCGCGGUAAUACAGAGAGUGCGAGCGUUAAUCGGAAUUAUUGGGCGUAAAGCGCGCGUANGUUGAUCGCUAAGUCAAAUGUGAAAGCCCUGGGCUCAACCCAGGAACUGCAUUUGAUACUGGUGGUCU
rnacentral:rRNA from 1 species